rnacentral:tRNA from 1 species
GCCUGCAUGGCUCAGUGGUUGAGCAUCAACCUAUGAAGCAGGAGGUCAUAGUUCGAUUCUUGGUUAGGGCA